UACGUAGGGUGCAAGCGUUGUCCGGAAUUAUUGGGCGUAAAGAGCUCGUAGGCGGUUUGUUGCGUCGGCUGUGAAAUCCCGAGGCUCAACCUCGGGUCUGCAGUCGAUACGAGCAAACUAGAGUGUUGCAGGGGAGACUGGAAUUCCUGGUGAUAGCGGUGAAAUGCGCAGAUAUCAGGAGGAACACCAGUGGCGAAGGCGGCGACCUGGGCCAAUAUUGACGCUGGAGGUGCGAAAGCGUGGGGAGCAAACAGG
rnacentral:rRNA from 1 species